CAGCAGCCACGGUAAUACGAAGGGUACAAGCGUUACUCGGAAUUACUGGGCGUAAAGCGUGCGUAGGUGGUGGUUUAAGUCCGUUGUGAAAGCCCUGGGCUCAACCUGGGAAUUGCAGUGGAUACUGGGUCACUAGAGUGUGGUAGAGGAUAGUGGAAUUUCCGGUGUAGCAGUGAAAUGCGUAGAGAUCGGAAGGAACAUCUGUGGCGAAGGCGACUAUCUGGGCCAACACUGACACUGAGGCACGAAAGCGUGGGGAGCAAACAGGAUUAGAUACCCGCGUAGUCCCUGUCUCUUAUAC
rnacentral:rRNA from 1 species